GCAAACUUGGUCAUUUAGAGGAAGUAAAAGUCGUAACAAGGUCUCCGUUGGUGAACCAGCGGAGGGAUCAUUACUGAGUGUAAAAACUCCCAAACCACUGUGAAUAUACUCUGUUGCUUCGGCGGGAUCGCCCCGGGCGCCAUCGCGUGCCCCGGACCCAGGCGCCCGCCGGGGACCUAAACCUCUGUAUUUUUGUGUCUCUCUGAGUGGAUUAAACAAAUAAUCAAAACUUUCAACAACGGAUCUCUUGGCUCUGGCAUCGAUGAAGAACGCAGC
rnacentral:misc_RNA from 1 species